rnacentral:sRNA from 1 species
AACGACCGCAGCCAUCCGCAUCAGCGGAA